GAUGAAGAACGCAGCGAAAUGCGAUAAGUAAUGUGAAUUGCAGAAUUCAGUGAAUCAUCGAAUCUUUGAACGCACAUUGCGCCCGCCAGUAUUCUGGAGGGCAUGCCUGUUCGAGCGUCAUUUCAACCAUCAAGCCCCAGGCUUGUGUUGGGGACCUGCGGCUGCCGCAGGCCCUGAAAACCAGUGGCGGGCUCGCUGUCACACCGGGCGUAGUAGAUUUUAUCUCGCUCAGGGCGUGCUGCGGGUUCCGGCCGUUAAAAAGCCUUUUUUACCCAAGGUUGACCUCGGAUCAGGUAGGAAGACCCGCUGAACUUAAGCAUAUCAAUAAGCGGAGGA
rnacentral:misc_RNA from 1 species